rnacentral:rRNA from 1 species
UACGAAGGGGGCUAGCGUUGCUCGGAAUCACUGGGCGUAAAGGGCGCGUAGGCGGCGUUUUAAGUCGGGGGUGAAAGCCUGUGGCUCAACCACAGAAUGGCCUUCGAUACUGGGACGCUUGAGUAUGGUAGAGGUUGGUGGAACUGCGAGAGUAGAGGUGAAAUUCGUAGAUAUUCGCAAGAACACCGGUGGCGAAGGCGGCCAACUGGACCAUUACUGACGCUGAGGCGCGAAAGCGUGGGGAGCAAACAGG